UACUCCUACGGGAGGCAGCAGUCGGGAAUUUUGCUCAAUGGGCGCAAGCCUGAAGCAGCAACGCCGCGUGGGGGAUGACGGCCUUCGGGUUGUAAACCUCUUUUCUUGGGGACGAUAAUGACGGUACCCGAGGAAUAAGUCACGGCUAACUACGUGCCAGCAGCCGCGGUAAUACGUAGGUGGCAAGCGUUGUCCGGAUUUACUGGGCGUAAAGGAUGCGUAGGCGGACAUUUAAGUCGCGUGUGAAAGCCCCCGGCUCAACUGGGGAGGGUCACGCGAUACUGCUCGACUCGAAGGCAGGAGAGGGAAGUGGAAUUCCCGGUGUAGUGGUGAAAUGCGUAGAUAUCGGGAGGAACACCAGUGGCGAAGGCGACUUCCUGGCCUGUUCUUGACGCUGAGGCGCGAAAGCUAGGGGAGCAAACGGGGUUAGAUACCCCGGUAGUCCUAGCCGUAAACGAUGGACACUAGGUGUUGGUGGUAUCAACCCCGCCAGUGCCGAAGCUAACGCAUUAAGUGUCCCGCCUGGGGAGUACGGCCGCAAGGCUAAAACUCAAAUGAAUUGACGG
rnacentral:rRNA from 1 species